rnacentral:misc_RNA from 1 species
AACACCCUGCAAAUCACCCAUUCAUUCUUGGCUGUUUUGGGGAGGUUGUGGACAGAGAAUUUACCCUCCAAUCUGUAUUCAUGAAUGACCCAGUUAGUCUUCUCCCCUUUAGGGGCUCUACCCUUAUAAAAAACAAGGGUCUUUUUCAUUCCAAUCAGGGAUUUUCCCCUGUAGAUCUCCUUAUCUUUCCCUGUGGCUUUCCAGUAACCAGCUUCAGUUGCCCUGUUUGUCCUGAGACCAGUUGGAUACUUUCUAUCCCUCACACAGAAAAAGUACCAUUCUUUCUCUCCCAUUUUCGCUUUCCAUGGCAAUUCCCAGGGUUCAGAUUUGUUCAAAUCCACAUCUCCAAUAGCUUUAGAAGAGAAGUUGAUGUCAAGAACCUUUUUGUACAGGUAUUGAGAAAUAAGCUCUUCAUCAGUCGGGUGGAAGCGGAAUCCAGGGGGCAAAUCCAUUUGAUCAUCUUCCGUAACAAGUCCAGAUAUGUUUUCCAUUGCUUGAGAAGCUAAAACCCUAUUGCUUUCUCUUGUUUACUAAUGUAAAAUCUUUAUAUUUUCACAAUUUGGGUUUUGGAUAAACAAGCAAAGGAAUAGAAUCCCAAAUCCAAGCUCAACUCUUAAGACGAAGACCGUUGUGCGACCUCUAUAUAUGCAAAUGGAUAUUGACCGAACAGCUCUAUUUCUCCAUGUUCAAGGAACCUUGUAAAGAAAAAAAAAGUGUCAUGAGC